UACGUAGGGUGCGAGCGUUGUCCGGAAUUAUUGGGCGUAAAGAGCUCGUAGGCGGUCUGUCGCGUCGGAUGUGAAAACCCGGAGCUCAACUCCGGGCCUGCAUUCGAUACGGGCAGACUUGAGUACUGCAGGGGAGACUGGAAUUCCUGGUGUAGCGGUGGAAUGCGCAGAUAUCAGGAGGAACACCGGUGGCGAAGGCGGGUCUCUGGGCAGAAACUGACGCUGAGGAGCGAAAGCGUGGGGAGCGAACAGG
rnacentral:rRNA from 1 species